GAUGAACGCUAGCGGCAGGCUUAACACAUGCAAGUCGAGGGGCAGCAUAAACAUUGCUUGCAAUGUUUGAUGGCGACCGGCGCACGGGUGCGUAACGCGUAUGUAACCUACCUCAAACAGGGGCAUAACACUGAGAAAUUGGUACUAAUUCCCCAUAACACCUGAUAGGGCAUCCUAUUAGGUUGAAAGUUCCGGCGGUUUGAGAUGGACAUGCGUUGUAUUAGCUAGUUGGUGAGGUAACGGCUCACCAAGGCGACGAUACAUAGGGGGACUGAGAGGUUAACCCCCCACAUUGGUACUGAGACACGGACCAAACUCCUACGGGAGGCAGCAGUGAGGAAUAUUGGUCAAUGGACGCAAGUCUGAACCAGCCAAUGCCGCGUGCAGGAUGACGGCUC
rnacentral:rRNA from 1 species